ensembl:lncRNA
AUGCUGGUGACAGGACACCUCUUAAACAGGUACCCACCAAGCUCCCAAGUGGGUUGGCACAUAGUGCAGGCUGGAGAGCGAGCAGGAUGCGUGAACCACGUCUUAUCUCUGCGGGAUCCUCUUACACACUGUCUUCAUCAACAGGCUUCUGGUGAAAGACAGGGAUGGCAAGUGACUGAAACCCAAGAUAUGGGGAGAUGUGGCCAUGCCUGGCCAGCGUUCCUGAACCACACAUUGGCUGGAUUGCUGUGGGUGGGGCAGACUUUGUUGCUACAGAACCCCAGACCCCCUGUUACCCACUGGAGUUAUUUACAAGGCCUGCCUGGUCCCUGUAUGUCAGUGGCUUCAAUCUGGCCACUCUCAUUGGCUUGCUGCUCCUGGAGCUGCCCAUGCUGAGAACCAUUCUGUUCCACCCAGCCAACAGCCCGUGGAACUUUCCUGACCCCUCCUGGGCCUGAAGCCCCAGAGCCAGGACCGGACCUUUGUGGAUAUUGAUGGCUGGAGAAAAUAUCUGUAAGACUCUCAGGAGGGAAAUGCUAGGUGCAAAACUGCACAGGGCCUAUCAUCCUCGGGUAAUUUAGAAAUACGUGCAUAUAAAAUUAUCUCUAUCUUGGUGUUUCUGUUUGGGUUGUUGCCUCUGUUCCCUGAUCUUCAUAUCUACACCAACAUUUUAACAAUGUAGAAUUCCAGUACAUGUGCAUUUCACUUCUAAUUUACAUAUACUCUAAGUAAUUUUCCAAAAACGUUCUCAUUGCAUAUUUUGCUUACGUAUAUGCACUCUUCAGCAUGCACGCCCUCCACUCCCAUGCCUUAGCCACACCUCAUCCCUAGUGGAUGGGAACCCAUUUCUACUCCCAACUGUUAUCUGUACCUUAUCCUGCACAGGUUGUAUACACAAACCGUGCUUACUGUAUUUUGUGCAUGAUUUAUGGGAUUUUCAAGAGUAAUUCUGACCACGCCCAGUUCUUUUUAUGUGCACUGAUUGAGAACUCAAGGUAAUUCUUGGGGAGAUAGGGCAAGAAAACCAGAAACCAGGAAGAAGGGAGGAAGAAGACAGACGAGAUCUGGGUCUGCAUGGGACUUCCAUUCUAGGAAGUGGGAGUUUUCAGCUGAGCACAGCAAGGAUUCAAAUCUGGGCUUGCCAGGUCCAGAGGCAUUUGCAUACUUCCCUAGUGUUGAUGAAUUGAGCUAACUCACACACCAGGUAUCCACACAUCUUGGAACCAGAUAGUAGAUGGAAAACAUGGAAACAUGGUGUAAACACAGGAAACAAUGAAAGGUUAACAAUAUAUUUUUUGCUUGUUAUCUGUGUGACCUAAAGCAUGUAUUGAACCUCUCUGAUACCACUUUGCUUGGGUCAUGUAAUGGGCCCAUUAUAGUGGGUUCCCUAUGUGGUUGUAGUGUUCAUGGAGAUUAGAAAUAGCAAUAACAUCCACCAUUUAUUGGGCAUGUUUUUCACGUGUGUGUGUGUGUGUAUAUGUAAUAUAUAUUAAUAUAUAUGUGUGUGUGUGUAUAUAUAUAUUGGUGUUUUGUUGUUGUUGUUGUUGUUGUUUUUGAGACAGAGUCUCGCUCUGUCGCCCAGGCUGGAGUGCAGUGGUGUGAUCUCAGCUCACUGCAAACUCCACCUCCUGGGUUCAAGCGAUUCUAGGGGCAUGUAUUAUAUUUCAGGUAAUGUGCUUAACAUUUUAUAUCCAUGAUAUCACUUAAUCCUCUCAAUCAUCCAAGGGAUAAGCACCAUCAUUAUCUCCAUUUUACAGACAAGCAAACAGAGGCUCAGAGCGCUUUUUUUUUUUUUUUUGACAGAGUUUCGCUCUUGUUGCCCAGGCUGGAGUGCAAUGGCGCGAUCUUGGCUCACUGCAACUUCAGUUUCCUGAGUAGCUGGGAUUCCAGGCACUCACCACUAUGCCCGGAUAAUUUUUUUGUAUUUUUAGUAGAGAUGGGGUUUCACCAUGUUGGCCAGGCUGGUCUCGAAUUCCUGACCUCAAGUGGUCUGUCCGCCUCGGCCUUCCUAAGUGCUGGGAUUACAGGCAUAAGCCAGCAUGCCUACUUUAAAAAGAAAUACUUUUUUCUUUUUUUCUGAGACGGAGUUUCACUCUUGUUGCCCAGGCUGGAGUGCAACGGCACGAUCUUGGCUCACUGCAACCUCCGUCUCCUGGGUUCAAGCAAUUUUCCUGCCUCAGUCUCCUGAGUAGCUGGGAUUAUAGGUGUCCACCACGCACCUGGCUAAAUUUUUUAUAUUUUUAGUAGAGAUGGGGUUUCACCACGUUGCCCAGGCUGGUUUCGAACUCCUGACCUCAGGUGAUCCACCUGCCUUAAGUCUCCCAAAGUGCUGAGAUUACAGGUGUGAGUCACUGAACCCAGCCCAAAAAAACCCAAAAAAACAAAACAAACAAACAAACAAAACAAAACAAACAAAAAACCACUUUUUAAUCUAAAAUUAAAUAUGUAUAUAUUUUUAGUUUAUUUUUUAAUGUUAAAAUUUUUUUUUUUUUUGAGAUGGAGUCUUACUCUGUCACCCAGGCUGGAGUGCAGUGGCCGGAUCUCAGCUCACUGCAAGCUCCUCCUCUCGGGUUCACGCCAUUCUCCUGCCUUAGCCUCCUGAGUAGCUGGGACUACAGGCACCCGCCACUUCGCCUGGCUAGUUUUUUGUAUUUUUUAGUAGAGACGGGGUUUCACCGUGUUAGCCAGGAUGGUCUCGAUCUCCUGACCUCGUGAUCCACCCGUCUCGGCCUCCCAAAGUGCUGGGAUUACAGGCUUGAGCCACCGCGCCCGGCCAAUGUUAAAAUUUUUUGUAGAAAUGGGAUCUCACUAUGUUAUCCAGGCUAGUCUCAAAUUCCUGUCUUCAAGUGAUCCUCCUGCGUGAGCCUCCCAAAAUGCUGGGGUUACAGAUGUGAGCCACCAUGCCCAGCCAAUCCCCUGGCAAUUUUAAAAAUUAAAAUAUUAGGAAGUCCAAAUUUAUUGUUUACUUUUUAGAUAACAUACAGAAAUAGAAACUCUGAUCAUUUUUCAUGAUCUUCAACAAAAUAUUUGCUGUGCCAAAGCCUGCUUUCUCAUCUGUACAGAUAAUAAUGGCCCAACUUCAUAUCAUUGUUGUAAAAUUUAAAAAAUAAUGUAAGUGAAUUACUUACUGCGAUAAGAGUGCAAUCAAAGUUAAGUCAUUAUGAGGUCAACAUUGUAAAUUAUGUUUAUAUUUACAUGCUUGUUUUGCAAAAUGUAGCCAUAUUUCCUGUGCUGUUUGGUAACUUGCCUUCUUUUUAAAAAAGUGUGACAGCAUAUAGUGACAUUUAUAUAUAAUCAUCAGUGUCAUUUAUAAUAAUUGCCAUAUAUUUCACUGUGUAGAUUUUUGAUAGCUAUUAAACAAAACCCCUAUCGAUGGGCAUUUUGGUUGUUUGAAUUUUCCACAUUCUUACAGCUUUAGGAGAUCUUUAAUUAUGUUUUAGGGUAAAUUCCUACGCAGGAGAACCUUUUCUUCCUACCCCACCCUGGCAUUUCUGGCUCCUCCACUCUGGGAAAGGACAGAAGGUUUGUUUGAAAUUGACAAAGGAAGUCUAGGCUGGGGAUCGUGGGGUGUGGAGGUGGGGGCUGGGGAUGGGGCACGGGGAUUUUGCUGGUCGCCCAGGUAAGAUCAGAUAAGGAGGCCGAUUAUGCAUGCUGAUAGAGGCCCAGAUAACCACCGGUUUACAAAACCCUUCUUGCAGAUAGUUUUAAAGAUGCCCUUCUUUUGUGAUUUCAAUACGUCCUGACUCCGCCCACCACUGAAGCUAUUCCCAGGUUGACAGCUGCAAAGAGCCAGAGAACCAGUGCCCAUCUCUUUAUCUCUUUCUCUCUGGUUUUCAUUCCUCGUCUAUUUUCAGUCCACCAAAUAGGUUUGGUUUUUAAGCUUUUUCUCGGGAAAAUGAAAUACAAGAUGCAAUUUUUUUUUUUUUUUUUUUUUAAAAUGAGACAGUCUUGCUGUCACUCAGGCUGGAGUAUAAUGGUGCGAUCUCGGCUUAACUGCAACCUCCGUUUCCCAGGUUCAAGUGAUUCUCCUGCCUCAGCCUCCCGAGUAGCUGGGAUUACAUGUGCCUGCCACCAUGCCCGGCUACUUUUUGUGUUUUUUUAAGUAGAGAUGGGGUUUCACCAUGUUGGCCAGGCUGGUCUUGAACCCCUGACCUCAAGUGAUCCGCUUGCCUCGGCCUCCCAAAGUGCUGGGAUUACAGGCAUGAGCCACUAUGCCUGGCCAAGAUGCAGAUUUUUUGUUGUUUGGGCGCAAAAGCACAGCUUUGGGAAAAACAAACAAACAAACAAACAAAAGAAAACCUAAUGGAGGCGCUUUCUUAGGCAGAUUGGAGGCCCUGCACCCCGCUAGGGGCUGGGCCCCCGCCCUGGAAGCCUAUAUUUAGAUAUCUGAAAGCAAAACAGGAGGGAAAGAAACAAAAUGCGGAAAACUUCUGUGAGCCUCAGUUUCCUCAUGCAAAAUGUGGACGUUACUAGUCUCUCCUUACCUCAGGGUCACCACGGAAUUAGAUAAAAUAAUGCUGGUAAAAGGUAUCCCCGUAUCGGAGAAGAUGGCCAUUACUCAAAGGCUUGCACUAGUGAAUGUAAAGCUGCAAACAGAAAUCAGGGCUCUCACGGAGAGCUCGAGGGUGAGAUUUUGGUCUAGAUUUGGGCAUGGCAGUGGCAGUCGGAAGAGGCUUCCCUGGGGAGGCAGCCAGGCCUGCAAACAGUGUUUGUCGUUCUCUCCGUCUGGCAUUAGGGCCAGAGCACUACUGUCUCUCUGUUCCCCCAACACAACACGCUGCCAGGGCCCAGCUGAGGCUGCAGAGCCUUAGCACGGGCUGCUCGCUCUGCCGGAACGCACUGGUCCCAAACCGUGGCCUGACUGGCUCCUUAUUGACUUUCAAUUCUGAGAUGAAUGAUCAUCUCCCUGGAAAAGGCUCUGUCACUCUCCAAUGACCCAGUUCUGGUUUAUCUUCACGGUGCUGAUCG